rnacentral:rRNA from 1 species
AGCAUAUCAAUAAGCGGAGGAAAAGAAACUAACAAGGAUUCCCCUAGUAACUGCGAGUGAAGCGGGAAAAGCUCAAAUUUAAAAUCUGUCAGUCUUUGACUGUCCGAGUUGUAAUCUAGAGAAGUGUUAUCCGCGCUGGACCGUGUACAAGUCUCCUGGAAUGGAGCAUCAUGGAGGGUGAGAAUCCCGUCUUUGACAUGGACUGCCAGGGCUUUGUGAUGCGCUCUCAAAGAGUCGAGUUGUUUGGGAAUGCAGCUCAAAAUGGGUGGUAAAUUCCAUCUAAAGCUAAAUAUUGGCGAGAGACCGAUAGCGAACAAGUACCGUGAGGGAAAGAUGAAAAGAACUUUGGAAAGAGAGUUAAACAGUACGUGAAAUUGCUGAAAGGGAAACGCUUGAAGUCAGUCGCGUUGUCCAGGGAUCAACCUUGCUUUUGCUUGGUGUACUUUCUGGUUGACGGGUCAGCAUCAAUUUUGACUAUUGGAAAAAGAUUAGGGGAAUGUGGCAUCUUCGGAUGUGUUAUAGCCCUUGGUUGCAUACAAUGGUUGGGAUUGAGGAACUCAGCACGCCGCAAGGCCGGGUUUUAACCACGUACGUGCUUAGGAUGCUGGCAUAAUGGCUUUAAUCGACCCGUCUUGAAACACGGACCAAGGAGUCUAACAUGCCUGCGAGUGUUUGGGUGGAAAACUCGAGCGCGCAAUGAAAGUGAAAGUUGAGAUCCCUGUCGUGGGGAGCAUCGACGCCCGGACCAGACCUUUUGUGACGGAUCCGCGGUAGAGCAUGUAUGUUGGGACCCGAAAGAUGGUGAACUAUGCCUGAAUAGGGUGAAGCCAGAGGAAACUCUGGUGGAGGCUCGUAGCGAUUCUGACGUGCAAAUCGAUCGUCAAAUUUGGGUAUAGGGGCGAAAGACUAAUCGAACCAUCUAGUAGCUGGUUCCUGC